GGAAUCUUCCACAAUGGGGGCAACCCUGAUGGAGCAACGCCGCGUGCAGGAUGAAGGCCUUCGGGUCGUAAACUGCUUUUAUUAGUGAAGAAUAUGACGGUAACUAAUGAAUAAGGAUCGGCUAACUCCGUGCCAGCAGCCGCGGUCAUACGUAGGAUCCGAGCGUUAUCCGGAGUGACUGGGCGUAAAGAGCUGCGUAGGUGGUAUGUAAAGCGAAUGGUGAAAUCUAGCGGCUCAACCGUAUAGACUAUCAUUCGAACUCACAUACUCGAGAACAGCAGAGGUAACUGGAAUUUCUGAAGUAGGGGUAAUAUCCGUAGAUAUCAGAAGGAACACCAAUGGCGUAGGCAGGUUACUGGGCUGUUUCUGACACUGAGGCACGAAAGCGUGGGGAGCGAAC
rnacentral:rRNA from 1 species